AUCAGCUUUGUUGUUUAAGUUAUCAAGAUUGUGCAGGUACUGUUAUCCAAACCCAUCAGACCAUGAGGCUGCCAAAAGGCAUUAUUAACAAGAACAGAACCAUAUUACAUUACAAACCCAAUAAUAAAUAAAACAAAAUAAAAUAAAACUAUAGGUAGGAUACUGGUAUUCUAAGCUUGACAAAUAGAAUAACUUACUCAAUGAUAAGAUAUACAUGCAUCACAUUAUCCUUACAAGUCACUGAUUCAUGGCCAGUUAAGAUGUAGAGAAAAUUUAAGAUACUAGAGAAUUAAGAAGGGUAAGCUGCAAUCUCACCAAUCUUUCAUCUUUCAAUCCCUAGUGUAAGAGCUUGUAUAUCAACCGUAAUUAUUGGGUGAUAUAAGACUCUCCAUGUAUGCAGUUAUUAUCAACCCUUCUUGACAACCUGAGAAGGAAAAUGAGUUAGACUCCUUUACUUUAUUCUUGAAUAGGGCUGCACUAUUCCCAUCUAAUAUCAUCAGAACUAUACUCUUCUUUGGAAAUUGCAUUGACAUCAAAUGUUGAAAAUUUAGGAUGCUAUAAGUGGAAGAAGCUCCUGGGAUAAGCAUCAACAUGGUCCAAGACUCCUUCACACCAUAUUGGUUCAUUAUCCAUAUCUGACUGUUAACGGGCCAUAAAGAGCCAACACAGAGAGAACCUUUGCAAGCUCCCAGAAAAACAUUUUUAGCACCUACCAGCCGACCAGGCAGGGGCAACUCCUUGAAGUUCUCCUGAACUAAGUCAAAAUAAAUUAUCACAUUUGCUACAUGACCAGUACCCCUACGCUUCAGCACCCAAUGAGGAGCUCCAUUUGCGAGGGUUAUCCCUGGUUGGCUAGAAUCAGAAGAGAACUCAUAAGGGAAUACAGUCUUUUCCAACAUAGCCCAGGAAUUGGUCUUAAGAUUAUAUACAGCAAUAUAGGUUAACUGUGAACCUCCAUCAUUAACUGCUGCAAGCACUUUGUAAUUAUCAGAGAAAGAAUCAUAAUAAUAACCAAGGCCAGCCAUGAAUGUCGUAGGGCACUCGCAAAAGUGGUUCAAUGGUAGCUCCUUAUCCUGCCCAGUUGACGGAUUCCACAAGAUGAAGCGCUUUGGGUUUUUACCAUGGCCUAGAAGUAGCAAACCAUUACAUGAACCAAAGACCUGUGAAUCAUUGAUGUUUUUAAAAUCUUCUAGCAGCAAAAGAGGAUUAGGAAACCCCACAGUCUGCACAAUUAAUACAUCAGAAUCUUCUUCUUCAGCUUUUCUGUGCAUGUAGAGAGAAAGCCGUGGCAGUUGUUGUUGAGGUAUGUUUGAUACUUGGAUAACUCCAUAUUUGCGAGGGCUAGGUUCUGCAUUAUUAGCUUGAUAAUUAAGAUGCCCAAUCGCGAACCCAUGACUUGAAAUUAAAGAAUGCCAGCAUCUGUUCACAGCUUUAAAUCGUAGCAGUGAACUUAACGGUAGUCUUAGCAGUAUGUCACAUAGUAAAUCCUCAGGAAAAUUCAGAAACAAUCCUGCCUUUUUUCUUUUUGCCUUUUCCAUGCCGUUGCAGCUCAGUUGAGAAAAUGGGAUUUCAGAUUUUGGGUGAUUUGCAUCUUCCAUGCAGAGUCUGAAGCAAAACCCUAUCGUCCACGCGAGGGAGAGCUUCGCUCAAUUUGGUGAAGGAGCGGGCGCGUCAAAGAGAGCUAGAUGAUGAAAACGGGGCAGUUUACUUAAAAAGCC
rnacentral:misc_RNA from 1 species